rnacentral:rRNA from 1 species
UACAGAGGGUGCGAGCGUUAAUCGGAAUUACUGGGCGUAAAGCGUGCGUAGACGGUUAUUUAAGUCGGGUGUGAAAGCCCCGGGCUCAACCUGGGAAUUGCAUUCGAGACUGAAUAGCUAGGGUACGGUAGAGGGAAGUGGAAUUUCCGGUGUAGCGGUGAAAUGCGCAGAUAUCAGGAGGAACACCGGUGGCGAAGGCGGGUCUCUGGGCCGAUACUGACGCUGAGGAGCGAAAGCGUGGGGAGCGAACAGG